rnacentral:rRNA from 1 species
GACAGAGGCCUCAAGCGUUAGGCGGAAUCACUGGGCUUAAAGCGUGUGUAGGCGGAUCGUUAAGUGUCUUGUGAAAUCCCACGGCUCACCCGUGGAACUGCUGGGCAUACUGGCGAUCUUGGGCCAACUAGGGGCAACUGGAACAAGCGGUGGAGCGGUGAAAUGCGUAGAUAUCGCUUGGAACGCCAAAGGUGAAAACAGGUUGCUGGGGUUGUGCCGACGCUGAGACACGAAAGCGUGGGGAGCGAACAGG